UUAUGGGUGGCGAGUGGCGGACGGGUGAGGAAUACAUCGGAAUCUACUCUUUCGUGGGGGAUAACGUAGGGAAACUUACGCUAAUACCGCAUACGACCUACGGGUGAAAGCGGAGGACCUUCGGGCUUCGCGCGAUUGAAUGAGCCGAUGUCGGAUUAGCUAGUUGGCGGGGUAAAGGCCCACCAAGGCGACGAUCCGUAGCUGGUCUGAGAGGAUGAUCAGCCACACUGGAACUGAGACACGGUCCAGACUCCUACGGGAGGCAGCAGUGGGGAAUAUUGGACAAUGGGCGCAAGCCUGAUCCAGCCAUGCCGCGUGGGUGAAGAAGGCCUUCGGGUUGUAAAGCCCUUUUGUUGGGAAAGAAAAGCAGUCGGUUAAUACCCGAUUGUUCUGACGGUACCCAAAGAAUAAGCACCGGCUAACUUCGUGCCAGCAGCCGCGGUAAUACGAAGGGUGCAAGCGUUACUCGGAAUUACUGGGCGUAAAGCGUGCGUAGGUGGUGGUUUAAGUCUGUUGUGAAAGCCCUGGGCUCAACCUGGGAAUUGCAGUGGAUACUGGGUCACUAGAGUGUGGUAGAGGGUAGCGGAAUUCCCGGUGUAGCAGUGAAAU
rnacentral:rRNA from 1 species